rnacentral:rRNA from 1 species
UACGUAGGGACCAAGCGUUGUCCGGAUUUACUGGGCGUAAAGGGCGCGUAGGCGGCGUGGUAAGUCACUUGUGAAAUCUCUGAGCUUAACUCAGAACGGCCAAGUGAUACUGCUGUGCUUGAGUGUGGAAGGGGCAAUCGGAAUUCUUGGUGUAGCGGUGAAAUGCGUAGAUAUCGAGAGGAACACCUGCGGCGAAGGCGGGUAGCUGGGCCGACACUGACGCUGAGGCGCGAAAGCCAGGGGAGCGAACGGG